AUGCUGCCGCGGCGGCCGGCUCGUCCCCGACUUCUGCUUCGCCAGAGAAGAAGGCCGAUUCAUGAGAGGAGAGGAGGAGAGAUGCGGCAGGGCGGCGGUCGUUGUCGGCGACGGGGAGGCGUGCUGAACCUGCCGGCUCGACCCAGGAGCGGCAGGUGCAGAGGCGCGUGCGCUACACCCCCACCCCGUGCUGCUCUCCGCCGCCCAGUCAUUGUGCCCGCUGCUCAAACUCCGCCACCCCAUCGGCCGCUCCGACGCCACUCAUGGUAUCCGGGAAGCACGCGGCCAUUGCUCGAUUCUCGCCUAACUAGGUCGCCGCUUCUCCUUGGUGUUCCACAGGAGAGGAGCAUCCGCCUCCACAACUGGAGAGACGCAUCUUCUCCCCUCCUCGACAGCAACACAGGGACGGAACCAUCAGCUGAGAUGGAGGAUGCCGCCCUUUACGGCGCGCUCGCGGUGGCCUGGUUACCAUCUCUUGGAGAGAGGCAGGCCUACCCCUUCUCCCCCACAGGUACCAGCCCGUCCGUGCCAUACCUCUCUCGAUUUUGCUGUUUAUACGCUUCUUUGGGCAGUGAUGUCCACGGCCGAGCAACGAGGUGGUGGUGGUGCUGCUGUUGCUGA
rnacentral:rRNA from 1 species